rnacentral:rRNA from 1 species
UACGAGGGGGGCGAGCGUUGUUCGGAAUUAUUGGGCGUAAAGAGCUCGUAGGCGGCCUGUUGCGUCCGCUGUGAAAUCCCGGGGCUCAACCCCGGGCGUGCAGUGGAUACGGGCUGGCUGGAGGCAGGCAGGGGAGAACGGAAUUCCUGGUGUAGCGGUGAAAUGCGCAGAUAUCAGGAGGAACACCGGUGGCGAAGGCGGUUCUCUGGGCCUGUACUGACGCUGAGGAGCGAAAGCGUGGGGAGCGAACAGG